CUUUUCCAGUGCACUGUUUUAGUAAUCAACAAUAAGAACGAUGUCAUCGUCCAAUGGAGAUCACCUUCAUGCGAAGAGUGCGGUGUUGCUUUAUCUUGCGCAUCUCUUUCCAGCGGCGCAUGUAGCUUCAUAAUGGGUCCACCUACGGUGCGGAAAAUACAUUAAAUUUUAAAAAUUCACUGCAGCGUCACACCCGUUCCCACACCGAUAGUCCAACAGUUUGUAGUAAGUGUGGGAAGGUUUCUUUACGAGGUAUUGGUUAAAUGAACAUGAAAAUGAGCUUCAUUUAGGCCAUGCAUUGAAGCUUUCGUGUAAACUGUGUGCGAAGCCAUGUCAGGCAAGAUACACUCUUCAAAAACAUUUAAGUAGGAGAAGGAAAGAAUGCAUGUGCAACAUACACAAACACGUUUAAGACAGGAUGCCUGUUGAAACAGCAUAUGGAUAAACACGAUGCUCCGAAAGUGUCCUGCCACGUCUGUGCUAAAAUGUAUGAACAAUCAUACAAAGGAUUGUUCUGUGGGGAUGUUUCAAGAGUAAUUAUUAUACCCUUUGUUGGAAAAAUACAACUUUUGCCACUCUGCCACUCUUAUAAUUUUGUUGUUUGAAAUGUUUGUAUUAAAGAUGAGUAUUGUGUUAGUUGUUGGUUUAAUUGUCGAAAUUCAUUUUGAACCAAAAUCACGAUGUUUCCUUUAAUUAAUUUGAGCUUUAUCGUCGUUCUAAUGUCUGUUGACAUUUCGGUAUCUUUUUCGUUCACGCAAAUGUGUUUGACCAAAUAUCCUUAAUUAGGAGCAAAAUAUCUUGAACGUUUAAUGGCACGAAGGUUUUAUCAUGAAAUCUGAAUUUCAGCAUGUUCCAUAAUUUAUCGAAACCAUUAUAACCUGUUUCACAGAUGUAAAAAUGAAAACACGUUUGAUUAUUAAAUAAACAUUAAUUUCGGUAAUCAGAAAAUCAAUACAGUCAUGUUGAGUUAUUUUCCUUGAAUGAUCUGAAACGUACAGUAAAGGAUUGCAUUGUAUUACAUGUUCUAGGUCACAACUUUGACCGUUUUACACACCCAUGCUAAUAUACAUUUGGAAACAUGGAUUUUAGAAAUUUAGAUAUCACAGUUGAUUUAAAAAAAGUUUUUUUGUCAUCUUAAAUUAUAUUCCAUACUAAGAAUCGACAUUCUGGCAAUGAGUGUUUGUGUGUUUUUGUAUACGUGAAGUUGUUUGUUGAAUAUUUCCCGUAUGAAUAUACUAAUUAUAUACUGUAUGAUUUUGUUAUUUUUCUCUGAUUAUAACACAUUGUGUUUGUAUUUCGACUUACAUAUUCAUUGUUAAUAUAUUUGAAAAUAUUUGUUGUUGGAAUUCAUGCCAUGGCUUUAUAGUUAUACAGUAUGGAUUUUGGUUGAUAUUUUUACAGGCACGAAUUUUAAGUGUCAGUUUAGUUUAAUAUAAGUGACAUAUACCAUAAUAAAGUAAUAUAAUUUUCAA